rnacentral:lncRNA from 1 species
UGAAAUGAAAAUGUUUAAAUUUAGAUAAAAUUGAGGAAAUUUUUUGAGGGAUAUAUUUGGGUCAUUUAAAUAAGAAUUAUAUACAUUUUAACCUUUUUAAAAAAAAUAAAAAAUGAGAAGGGUUUAUUUUUGUUAUUCUUAUAUCUUUUAAGAGUUAUUUAAAUUUAAUUUCAAAAGGUGAUAGAUCUAAAAUGCAAAUAGACCAAAAGUUUAAUUUGGUGCGGUGAUCCUUUUUUCAG